UCUAUCGAAUAUAGCCCGGUCAAGUAUUCCGGCCUUUCGAGCCGAAGACGCGGGUCCGAAUCCCGCCCGGAGCA
rnacentral:tRNA from 1 species